CUUUUACUCAUUUCGUGUCAUCUUGUGAGAGCAGAUUAUUUGCCAGUUGUGAUUUAUCCUCAGUAAAUACAUUAAUCAGUUAUGUGAGGUUCCUCAUUUGUAUGUUGCAUGUACGAAGUUCUUGUGACCUUGCUUGUUUUUAUUGUUUCCUUUCUGAGCGUGAGUGACUUACUUGCCUCGACACAUAUUCUAAAAACUGUUUCUUCAUCACUGAGGGUCAGAAAAUUUCAUUUACUCAUU
rnacentral:lncRNA from 1 species